rnacentral:rRNA from 1 species
AGAUGGCGACCGGCGCACGGGUGAGUAACACGUAUCCAACCUGCCGAUGACUCGGGGAUAGCCUUUCGAAAGAAAGAUUAAUACCCGAUGGCAUAGUUCUUCCGCAUGGUGGAACUAUUAAAGAAUUUCGGUCAUCGAUGGGGAUGCGUUCCAUUAGGUUGUUGGCGGGGUAACGGGCCCACCAAGCCUUCGAUGGAUAGGGGUUCGUGAGAGGAAGGUCCCCCACCAUUGGAACUGAGACACGGUCCAAACUCCUACGGGAGGCAGCAUG